rnacentral:rRNA from 1 species
AACGAACGCUGGCGGCAGGCUUAACACAUGCAAGUCGAGCGCCCCGCAAGGGGAGCGGCAGACGGGUGAGUAACGCGUGGGAAUCUACCCAUCUCUACGGAAUAACGCAUGGAAACGUGUGCUAAUACCGUAUACGUCCUUCGGGAGAAAGAUUUAUCGGAGAUGGAUGAGCCCGCGUUGGAUUAGCUAGUUGGUGGGGUAAAGGCCUACCAAGGCGACGAUCCAUAGCUGGUCUGAGAGGAUGAUCAGCCACACUGGGACUGAGACACGGCCCAGACUCCUACGUGAGGCAGCAGUGGGGAAUAUUGGACGAUGGGCGCAAGCCUGAUCCAGCCAGGCCGCGUGAGUGAUGAAGGCCCUAGGGUUGUAAAGCUCUUUCACCGGUGAAGAUAAUGACGGUAACCGGAGAAGAAGCCCCGGCUAACUUCGUGCCAGCAGCCGCCGUAAUAC